GCGCCAUUGGUUUAGUGGUAAAAUUCAACGUUGCCAACCACAGUAAGCAGUUUCGUUGAGCCCUGGGUUCGAUUCCCAGAUGGCGCA
rnacentral:tRNA from 1 species